UACGUAGGGUCCAAGCGUUGUCCGGAAUUAUUGGGCGUAAAGAGCUCGUAGGCGGUGCGGCGCGUCGGAUGUGAAAGCCCGGGGCUUAACUUCGGGUCUGCAUUCGGUACGGGCAUGCUGGAGUUCGGGAGGGGAGACUGGAAUUCCUGGUGUAGCGGUGAAAUGCGCAGAUAUCAGGAGGAACACCGGUGGCGAAGGCGGGUCUCUGGGCAGAUACUGACGCUGAGGAGCGAAAGCGUGGGGAGCGAACAGG
rnacentral:rRNA from 1 species